CUCGAAACCUUUCCAUAGUCCAUCCAUCCAUAUACAUGAAUCGCAUCGCAUGCUGUGUCGAACGCCAUGACUUUCAUGAGCAGAAGACCACGCGAUGCCCGCACCGCACGAAAUCCGGGAAGAAAUAAACCUGCAGUGUGCACUCACUCAAACCAUGUCUUCCUUUCUUGUAUGCUAUGCACAAUUGCACACGCGAAACUUUGCUGUACGCACGUACAGUAGCGUGGCCACUCAUCCUCGCGAGCACGCUCGAUCGGCAGCGUGCCCGCCGGUCGCCUCUCCGAUUCGAGGAACCGAGAUCAUGAGAUGGAGUGGCGGCGGCGGCGCUGGAAGAGCACCUUGGCGUCGGCGGUAGCCUUGGCCCCGAGCUGCUGCAGCCCCGGCUCGGCGGCGGGGCGCAUGCGGAAGAGCCUGCCGAGGCUGCGCGCCAAGCCCCGGAGCAGGCGGUUGGCGGGGCCGACGCGCACCAGCUCCCGCUUCAUGCUCACGUGGUCCUUCUCCAGGUCCGUGAGCCGCAUCCGCAUCCGCGCCACCUCCAGCUUCAGCUCCCGGUUCUCCCGCCGCACCGACGCGUAGUUGUCCCGCGGCGACAUGGCGCCGCUGCCCACGCCGCUGCCGGAGCGCAUGUUCACGCUGCCCUGCACCGACGCGGCGGCCGCGGCGCACCCGAAGAAGACCGCCCCGUCGUGCCCGCCCAUGCUGCUGCCACCCCCGGCCUGGAUCGCGCUCCGCAGCCGCAGCUGCUCGAAGUAGAGCACCUGCACCGCCAUCUGCACCGGGAGCCGCUCGUUCUGCGCCGCGUGGCUGCACGCGUCCGGCGUCAGCCGCUGGCAGUCGAUCGCCUUGCACAGCCGGUACCGCUCCGCCUCCUUGAUGUUGGGGUGCACCUGCAUGCACGCAGACAGAUAUACAGAUCGAUCGGCAAGCACGUUAAGCUAGGUGGCUUUUGGUUCUGGCUAGCCAAGCAAAUUAGAACAGGCUGAAUUGGUGCGGUGCGGUAGAUGUCGCGUGUCUUGACCUUGAGGAAGAUGUCGACGGCGCGGUAGAGGCCAUCGGUGACGACGCGAGCGUGGUCCGGGAGCAGCUCGGCGAGGGAGAUGAACUUGGACGGGAGGAUGUUAGAGUCGAGCGCCACCUCCGCGAGGUAGCUGUCCAGCAGCUUGGCGGCCUUCACCAGGAGGCUCUGCUUCGGCGAGCGCGGGCUGUCGUAGUCGAACCCGUCGUCCUCCUCGUUAUGGUCGUCGUCGAGGUUGAGGAACACCGAGAAGAUGCGCGCCACCACGUCCGUGUCGUACAGCGCGUGCUGCUGACCGGCCGGCGCGCCCACGGCGGCGCCCGCGGCGAUGAGGAUGUCCUCCAGGAUGGCCUGGUCCAUCUGCAUGCCGAUCCGCUUCUCCAGGUCGGCCCUGCAGAUGCUGGACGCGGACACCGCCAUCGACGUCUUGAGGAGCCCCGAGAGGAAGGCCAUGGGCACGGGGCUCUUCCUGGACUGCGCCGGGAGAAGGCCCACGAUGGCCUCCACGACGGCGCGCUGCUUCUUGACGGCGUCGGCGUCCGCGCCGCCGCAUCUGUGCACGUCCCUGGCCAUGAGCCCGUGCAGCGCGUUCUGCGCGUAGUUGAUGAGGAUCCUGGUGACCGUCUCCUGCUUGAGCCCCUUGGCCUUGACCGCGGAGAGCAGCCGCUGGAAGAAGUCGAGGCCGAGCGCGGCCACGGACUUGCCCCACCAGUCGGCCGGCGGGUCGAGGUCGGCGAACGCCGCCGCGGGCUUGAGCUGCGCGCACUGGUCCAGCUUGGACAGCCCCGAGGUGAGCUGCUCCUUGCACACGUUGGUGGCGACGGCGGCGAUGAGGCGGGGCACGAGGCCGACGUCCUCGGCGGCCGGGAGCAGCGCCUCGCAGCUGCGGAGCACGGCGACGGAGCUGGCGAUGCUGGGGAGCACCGCGUCGCGGAGGAAGGCCUCGGCGCGGAGCUCCAGGCUCUUGUCGGAGAAGUCGUCGGUGAUCUGCAGGGCAAGGAGCUCUCAGCUCUCACCUUGUGGAGUGCGAAGCUGGAGGUGCCGACCUCGACGGUGAGGUCGCUGGAGACGUCGGUCGGAGGCCUGGCAGAACGCAGAGUCGAGUUCAGGAGAGGAGCACAGGAUCCGAGGAACGAAGCAGGAACGCGAGUGAGUUACCACUCAUUGGCGUGGCGGCUGAUGAGGCUCGGCCGGAAUGUCCUCUUCCCGGAGAUGCUCUGCUUCAGCUCUGUCACCGUCGCCACGCCCAUUUUCUCUCUCUCUCUCUCUCUCUCUCUCUCUCUCUCUCUCUCUCUCUCUCUCUCUCUCUCUCCUCUACUCUUCACUGUCUCUCUCUCCAAUGAAGUCAGCACAGCAAGCAAACACUGCGAAGGGAUGCACGCCAAAUAUGUUUACGU
rnacentral:misc_RNA from 1 species